GGGGAAUAUUGGACAAUGGGCGCAAGCCUGAUCCAGCCAUGCCGCGUGAAGGAUGAAGGUUUUCGGAUCGUAAACUUCUGUUGAGAGGGAAGAAAGGCCCGCGAAGAGCGGGAGAUGACGGUACCUCUUCAGCAAGCACCGGCUAACUCCGUGCCAGCAGCCGCGGUAAUACGGAGGGUGCAAACGUUGCUCGGAAUUACUGGGCGUAAAGCGCUCGUAGGCGGUUUGUCAAGUCAGAUGUGAAAUCCCCGGGCUUAACCUGGGAAGUGCAUUUGAAACUGGCAAGCUAGAGGUUGGGAGGGGGUAGCGGAAUUCCCGGUGUAGAGGUGAAAUUCGUAGAUAUCGGGAGGAACACCAGAGGCGAAGGCGGCUACCUGGACCAAUACUGACGCUGAGGAGCGAAAGCGUGGGGAGCAAAC
rnacentral:rRNA from 1 species